UACGGAGGGUGCAAACGUUGCUCGGAAUCAUUGGGCGUAAAGCGCACGUAGGCGGCCUGAUAAGUCGGGUGUGAAAGCCCUGGGCUCAACCCAGGAAGUGCACUCGAAACUGUCAGGCUUGAAUAUGGAAGAGGGUCGCGGAAUUCCUGGUGUAGCGGUGAAAUGACGCAGAUAUCAGGAAGAACACCCGUGGCGAAGGCGGCUCUCUGGGACGGUACUGACGCUGAGACGCGAAAGCGUGGGGAGCGAACAGG
rnacentral:rRNA from 1 species